AGUGUCAGCAGCCGCGGUAAUACGAAGGGGGCGAGCGUUGUUCGGAGUUACUGGGCGUAAAGGGCGCGUAGGCGGCGCUCCAAGUUAGGCGUGAAAGCCCCGGGCUCAACCUGGGAAUUGCGCUUAAGACUGGAGUGCUCGAGUGCGGAAGAGGUGAGUGGAAUUCCCAGUGUAGAGGUGAAAUUCGUAGAUAUUGGGAAGAACACCAGUGGCGAAGGCGGCUCACUGGUCCGCAACUGACGCUGAGGCGCGAAAGCGUGGGGAGCAAACAGGAUUAGAUACCCUGGUAGUCCACGCCGUAAACGAUGAGUGCUAGACGUUGGGGAACUUAGUUCCUUGGUGUCGCAGCUAACGCAUGAAGCACUCCGCCUGGGGAGUACGGCCGCAAGGUUAAAACUCAAAGAAAUUGACGG
rnacentral:rRNA from 1 species